CAGCAGCCGCGGUAAUACGUAGGUGGCAAGCGUUGUCCGGAAUUACUGGGCGUAAAGCGUGCGUAGGCGGUGAGUUAAGUCUGCUGUGAAAUCCCCGGGCUCAACCUGGGAAUGGCAGUGGAUACUGGCUCGCUAGAGUGUGUCAGAGGAUGGUGGAAUUCCCGGUGUAGCGGUGAAAUGCGUAGAGAUCGGGAGGAACAUCAGUGGCGAAGGCGGCCAUCUGGGACAACACUGACGCUGAGGCACGAAAGCGUGGGGAGCAAACAGGAUUAGAUACCCGUGUAGUCCCUGUCUCUUAUAC
rnacentral:rRNA from 1 species